rnacentral:misc_RNA from 1 species
GCAUGUUGUCGUCCUCUUGCCCAUGGCAGCGCUACUGUUGGAGGUGGACAAUCGAGCUCCCGGGCAUGGCGUGGGAGCGGCCGCAAGGUCCGGUCGGCACUCGGCACACGCACACAGAACAGAAGCAAGUUAAAGCUCGGCGGCCGUCAGCCAGCAUGCAGUACACGGCCAAGACAGGUCCACUUUAAGCCAGAUCCAACUCCAAUCUCUAGCAAGGCAGCAACAGAAGAGAUAUGGUUGCAGAGAUAUGGUGCUUUGUAUUUGUUGGCAGCUUCUUCAAUUACUAUUGUAAUGUCCAUGAACUGAAUGAUGCAGCAGCCUGAAUAGCUCUGGAGUCUGGAUGCUAUUGGUUCUAAAUGAUAGCUUGAGCUGAAUAAUCUGAUAGCAUGAAUAGUUGUGGCAAGUAGUGCUUGACUGAAU